rnacentral:rRNA from 1 species
ACCUACCUUCAGAAUGGGGACAACAGUUGGAAACGACUGCUAAUACCCAAUGUGCCGAAAGGUGAAAGAUUUAUCGUCUGAAGAUGGGCUCGCGUCUGAUUAGCUAGAUGGUGGGGUAAGAGCCUACCAUGGCAACGAUCAGUAGCUGGUCUGAGAGGAUGAGCAGCCACACUGGGACUGAGACACGGCCCAGACUCCUACGGGAGGCAGCAGUGGGGAAUUUUCCGCAAUGGGCGAAAGCCUGACGGAGCAAUACCGCGUGAGGGAGGAAGGUCCUUGGAUUGUAAACCUCUUUUAUCAGGGAAGAAGUUCUGACGGUACCUGAUGAAUAAGCAUCGGCUAACUCCGUGCCAGCAGCCGCGGUAAUACGGAGGAUGCAAGCGUUAUCCGGAAUUAUUGGGCGUAAAGCGUCCGUAGGUGGUUAUGCAAGUCUGCCGUUAAAGAAUGGAGCUUAACUCCAUAGGAGCGGUGGAAACUGCAAGACUAGAGUACAGUAGGGGUAGCAGGAAUUCCCAGUGUAGCGGUGAAAUGCGUAGAUAUUGGGAAGAACAUCGGUGGCGAAAGCGUGCUACUGGGCUGAAACUGACACUGAGGGACGAAAGCUAGGGUAGCGAAUGG